UCUUCUAUGGAAUCUAAGCACAACCCAGGACAUUCGGGCCAUGUUGUUACAGGGAAGCCAGUUUUUGAACACCCUUGCUCUCGUGAGGCCGUAGAAAAGGUUUGCAAAAGAUAUUAAUAUAUCAAUUAAAAUGUUGACAGAGUGUUAUUGCAUUAUAUAAUAUUUAUUUUUCAUAUCGGAUGCUUGAGCAUUUUCAUGUCUACUGGAGGCAGAUGUAGGUGGGGCUCGCAAGUGGACAGUCAUAGGGUGUGAUGGCCUCUCAUACAUCCUGUCAAGAACCAUUGACUGAUUAAUUUAACGUCCCGUCGAGAAUUUUUCACUCCUAUUGAGACGUCACCAGGUGUAGGUGAAGUACCACAACCUAUACUUCGCGCCCAAGGCCAUAGCAGUGGGGGUUCUUUAUCGUGCCAACGUCUGCCGCUAUAUGGGACCUCCGUUUUAAAGGCCUUAUCCGAAAGACCCGUGAUUCUCGCUUCUAAAUACCGAGCGUUUGGCGAAGGAGCAAUCACUAUAGGUUUGACGCGGCCAUAGUACGAUCGUCUCCCGAGCUCCCGGUUCUGGACAUCGUCACAAACCACGGUAUUGAGUCCACAUACGCUCCCUCAAUGAUGGAGGGAAUCGAUUAGAAGCACACGUGGGUAACUGACGAUGGGUUCUGAAGGAAGGACAUACACAUAUGCGCUGUCUGCUAGAGGCAAUAUGAUGGGGCCUGCGAGUUCGAAACUCGUGUAAAAAUACAUUACAUGUAGAAAAUGUUGACGAGGGGAGAAAAUACAGAUAUAGUCUCAUGUUUACAGGUAUACUAUUUCUGUAGAGAAAAUAAAGAAGUUUAUAAAACCACCAGGACUGUUAUCACUCCAACCCCCUAUCUGUGGAGAGCCAGAGUUCAAUAUUUUAUCUUUGUAAUUAUGUAUUUGUUGUUACUAAAUGCGCCAUUGGUUCAAUGUAAAAUAGAAAAAUGUUAAUCGUUAUCUUGACAUUUGUCGUACAUAACAGUAUAUUCGUUAUUUGAAAGGCGUAAGAUGUAAAGGAAUGUAAUGUCUGUGUAGAUGCGUAACAAGUGAAUGCAUUAUUUAUUCAAUGUAAAUUUGAAAUUUGAUCUUCGUCAUCCAUAUUUGAGCAUUUGCACAUUGCAGUUGCGAGUUACAGUAAUUUUUUUUUUUUGGUAAUCCGUCUGAUGAUAGUUCAACAUUCGAAUUUGCUCAUUCGUUUACUGCAUUUCAACAUUUGUUCGUUGUUUUACCAUUAUGACGACAGAGGGCGCGCGUUACAUCGAAUCUUUUGGGAAACAGACUAUAGAAUCAUAUUGGAGGACCAGUUUAUGUGACAUUCCCUCGGAGCUAUUAUUUUCCCGGCCUUUCGAAGUCCGAGAGAAUCAACGGAAAAACACGAGGACAUCGCCAACAAGACAAAAGCCGACAUUUAACUCACUCUCCAUCAGAAAUGGAAACAGAUAAAGAAGACGGCUGAACUAUACUGGAAUGCCCGUUAGUCCAGAGACCGAAAGUAAUAUAGACUUUGAUUUACGAUAAGAAUAAUUUCUUUUGUAUUAUGCAUUCGUUAUGUUUUAUUUACUUUUUAGACAUUAAAUGCUUUGAACAGU